UGGGGAAUAUUGGACAAUGGGCGCAAGCCUGAUCCAGCCAUGCCGCGUGAGUGAUGAAGGCCUUAGGGUUGUAAAGCUCUUCCACCGGAGAAGAUAAUGACGGUAUCCGGAGAAGAAGCCCCGGCUAACUUCGUGCCAGCAGCCGCGGUAAUACGAAGGGGGCUAGCGUUGUUCGGAAUUACUGGGCGUAAAGCGCACGUAGGCGGGCAUUUAAGUCAGGGGUGAAAUCCCAGAGCUCAACUCUGGAACUGCCUUUGAUACUGGGUGUCUUGAGUAUGGAAGAGGUGAGUGGAAUUCCGAGUGUAGAGGUGAAAUUCGUAGAUAUUCGGAGGAACACCAGUGGCGAAGGCGGCUCACUGGUCCAUUACUGACGCUGAGGUGCGAAAGCGUGGGGAGCAAACA
rnacentral:rRNA from 1 species